rnacentral:rRNA from 1 species
GACAGAGGUGCCAAGCGUUAGGCGGAAUCACUGGGCUUAAAGGGCGCGUAGGCGGGGUGGCAAGUCUGUGGUGAAAUCCUCCGGCUCAACCGGAGAACUGCCGUGGAUACUGCCAUUCUCGAGGGGUGUAGGGGCAUGUGGAACUCAGGGUGGAGCGGUGAAAUGCGUAGAUAUCCUGAGGAACGCCGGUGGCGAAAGCGACGUGCUGGACACCUACUGACGCUGAGGCGCGAAAGCCAGGGGAGCGAACGGG